GAUGAACGCUAGCGGCAGGCCUAACACAUGCAAGUCGAGGGGCAGCACGGUGUAGCAAUACACUGGUGGCGACCGGCGCGACGGGUGCGUAACGCGUAUGCAACCUACCCAUAACAGGGGGAUAACACUGAGAAAUUGGUACUAAUACCCCAUAACAUCAGGACCGGCAUCGGUUUUGGUUGAAACUCCGGUGGUUAUGGAUGGGCAUGCGUUGUAUUAGCUGGUUGGUGAGGUAACGGCUCACCAAGGCAACGAUACAUAGGGGGACUGAGAGGUUAACCCCCACAUUGGUACUGAGACACGGACCAAACUCCUACGGGAGGCAGCAGUGAGGAAUAUUGGUCAAUGGACGCAAGUCUGAACCAGCCAUGCCGCGUGCAGGAAGACGGCUCUAUGAGUUGUAAACUGCUUUUGUACGAGGGUAAACGCUCUUACGUGUAAGAGCCUGAAAGUAUCGUACGAAUAAGGAUCGGCUAACUCCGUG
rnacentral:rRNA from 1 species